ACAAGGUUCUCUCUUCCUCCCUCCUACUCGCUCUCUCUCCUUCACCCUGCCUGAAGAACCGUCCCAAUAACAGCCCUAACUACCAUUUGGAGACUUCAUUCUGUCCACACAGUCUUUCACAGAUGUCGUCUAACUUUGUGGGCUAGGUCUUCGCAGCACUCCUCAGCACUUUCGAGACGAACUCCUACGGAAGUUACCAAUAUUUGCCUUGGGUUCAUGAUCCUCCUUCUGCCUCACCCUCCUGAGGAGCUAUUUGAAAACCUGCACCCAGUUCUUGCUCAGUUCUUUCUCUGAUCCUCCUUGAUGGAUCAGGGGAGGGAUGGCUAAGCUCAAAUCCUUCUGCGAUCAUUAUGCGUAGGAUGGGAAGAAGUGCACAUAGGCCAUCAGGUGUACGGUGACUGACUGCUUCUAAGACCUCUGCCUUAAUCUGCUAUAAUUGACAGCAUCCUGGAAUUGCGUGCUAAAAUAAACUCUGUGGGGCAGUGGACCAUGAAAGGUUCUCCUAGAACUGGAGAUACAGGCAAUUGUGAGCUGGGAA